GACGUAGGGUGCGAGCGUUGUCCGGAUUUACUGGGCGUAAAGAGCGCGUAGGCGGUCCGUUAAGUGUGAAGUGAAAUCUCCAGGGCUCAACCCGGAAACUGCUUUACAUACUGGCGGACUGGAGGGAUGCAGAGGUUUGUGGAAUUCCUGGUGUAGCGGUGAAAUGCGUUGAUAUCAGGAGGAACACCCAUGGCGAAGGCAGCAAACUGGGCAUCAUCUGACGCUGAGGCGCGAAAGCGUGGGUAGCAAACAGG
rnacentral:rRNA from 1 species